CGGGUGAUUAAUAUAUCGGAACGUGCCCAGUCGUGGGGGAUAACGUAGAGAAAUUUACGCUAAUACCGCAUACGAUCUAAGGAUGAAAGCGGGGGAUCGCAAGACCUCGCGCGAUUGGAGCGGCUGAUAUCAGAUUAGGUUGUUGGUGAGGUAAAAGCUCACCAAGCCGACGAUCUGUAGCUGGUUUGAGAGAACGACCAGCCACACUGGGACUGAGACACGGCCCAGACUCCUACGGGAGGCAGCAGUGGGGAAUUUUGGACAAUGGGCGAAAGCCUGAUCCAGCAAUGCCGCGUGCAGGAAGAAGGCCUUCGGGUUGUAAACUGCUUUUGUACGGAACGAAAAGGCUCUUUUUAAUAAAGAGGGCUCAUGACGGUACCGUAAGAAUAAGCACCGGCUAACUACGUGCCAGCAGCCGCGGUAAUACGUAGGGUGCGAGCGUUAAUCGGAAUUACUGGGCGUAAAGCGUGCGCANGCGGUUCUAUAAGACAGAUGUGAAAUCCCCGG
rnacentral:rRNA from 1 species